rnacentral:rRNA from 1 species
GAUGAACGCUGGCGGCGUGCCUAAUACAUGCAAGUCGAGCGAACAGACGAGGAGCUUGCUCCUCUGACGUUAGCGGCGGACGGGUGAGUAACACGUGGAUAACCUACCUAUAAGACUGGGAUAACUUCGGGAAACCGGAGCUAAUACCGGAUAAUAUAUUGAACCGCAUGGUUCAAUAGUGAAAGACGGUUUUGCUGUCACUUAUAGAUGGAUCCGCGCCGCAUUAGCUAGUUGGUAAGGUAACGGCUUACCAAGGCAACGAUGCGUAGCCGACCUGAGAGGGUGAUCGGCCACACGGGAACUGGGACACGGUCCAGACUCCUACGGGAGGCAGCAGUAGGGAAUCUUCCGCAAUGGGCGGAAGCUUGACGGAGCAACGCCGCGUGAGUGAUGAAGGUCUUCGGAUCGUAAAACUCUGUUAUUAGGGAAGAACAAAUGUGUAAGUAACUAUGCACGUCUUGACGGUACCUAAUCAGAAAGCCACGGCUAACUACGUG